UUUAUGGCUUCAUAAAUAGCAAGAAUCGUUUUUUUACAUAGUAUGCUUCAUGAAUCAUGAUUCAUGAGUUUCUUUGAUUUCAAGUUGACUUUUGUUAAUUUUUCGACUCAGAAAAACUAUGCUGCUAGUUUAUUAUAUCAGUAGAGGAAAUAGUAUAAUUGAGUCGUGGUUCUUCCCGCUUAUGAUUACUGCAAUGGAGUAAAUAAUCGAGCUCGAUUUGUAGGGGGUUCUUCGGAUUCAAUUAAUUUAUCUCUUGUUGUCUUCUAGUUGUUGCAAAUUUCGCUGCAGAAGGUACAGAGAUCCAGGUGUUAAUUAAAUCAGCUACAGAGUAUAUCAAUUUUCCCACCUAUAUUGUUAGAAAACUUCGUAAUUUGACUCUCCAUGAUCUUGCAUAAACAAGUCAAGAGAAGAUUGUAGAGGCAGGUGGGCUUACUUUCUUGCUGAAUCUUCUUAGAAGCUAUGUGGAUAACACCAUACAUCGAGUUGCUACUGGUGCUAUUGCGAAUUUAGCAAUGAAUGGUGAGUUUAGCUAACUCUUUUUCUGGCAUUCUUUUACUAUCUUUUCCUUUUUAUGCUAUUAGGUUGCUCUUUUCUUGUCACUUCAGAAACCAACAAAGAGCUGAUUAUGGCCCAAGGAGGAGUCGGUUUACUAUCAGUAACUACUACUAAUGUAGAGGAUCCCCAAACCCUUCCCAUGAUUGCUGGAGCAGUAGAUAAUCUUUGUGGGAAUGUAAACCAUGAAUAUCAUAAAUGUUUGAGUUCCGAAGUGUCUUAUUGAGAUUUAUUGUUUUUUCUUCUUGUACUGAAGGACAUUGGGAUUUUGUGUGUGUUUUGAUUGUUGGUCUAAGCUGCAGUUGCUGAGUUCAAAGGAGAUUCAUGGGUAUUUCAGACAAAUGGAGGAGGUCCAAACAUGUACUAUAUGAUGCUUCUUUGAGGAUCAGAGCAUGCCGUUUCUGUUUUAUAUGUUUUCAGUUCCGAGGUGACAUUUUGUUGGUGUUUUUUUUUUAGUGAUUAGUUUUACUCAGUUCUAAUUUGGUAGGAUUAUUGUAGGUUGAGGUGUUGUUGUUGCUUGAGGUGAUACUGUUGCUUGGAGCUAGCUACUGUUGUACUGUUGCUUGGAGAUGCUGUUUGGAGAUGUUGUUUGGAGAUGUUGUAUGCUAUAGCAGUCUAUUAGGAAGUGUUGCUUUUUUCUUUUUGGAAUUUGGCGAUAUAGAGACCGAAGUUGACAUCGGUUGACUUUAUUUUUGUUUUUAUUAUUAGAUUGCUUAGCCAAACAAAAAAUUGGUGUUUGUGGAUGUUUUUGUAAGCAACUAUGAUAUUAAUUAUAUCAAUUUAAAUAAUUGUCUAUCGUUUAUGUUA